GCGAUAACCGGUACAAGAAGGGUCCGUGCCAUCUCUGGCACUCCGUCGGAGAAAAAGGGAUCCAGACUAUUUAUUUUACGUGUUCCUUCAUUGUCGUUGGUGUGUCGAGCUUAUGGAGGAGGCUACGAAUACCAGUUGGAGAAGACACAGUCCGUGUAAGCGAUCAAUAAUCCGCGGAGAAAAGGGCAUCCGGGGCCACCUAGGCACUCAGUUCUUAACCAGUGUCGGUGCCUCAGUGGUUGGUUGGUAAAGGUUUCACACUAAAUCGAGCCGGAAGAUGUGCCCGUUAAAGAUCCGGAGAGUAUAGGCGGUUCUAACGGUGGACACCAUCCCGAACUCGUUGAAAUUUUACGUCAAUGGCCACGGAAUCACUUAUACACACUCAGUCCUCACGGGAGAGGAUUAAAAGACGAUUUUCUAUAUGAUUAAAA